AAGCUAUUGGAAGAGAAUUCAACUAUAAAAAAAUCCUAAGGUUCCAACAAGGCCUCACUUGCCCAUUUGAACCAUUAGUGGAGGUUAGAGUUGAUUAGAGGUUCAACAAUACCGAUUUAGAGGCAAUUGGAACCUAGAUUGAGUCGCACACAUAUGCUCGUCUUCUUGGUAGGUACUAUAGCAUCUCAAUAGCUGUAUCUUCACCCAGAGUCACUCCGCUGAUGGUCUCGAGUCUAUUACUUGUGAACAUGUAUAUGUAAUGUAAACUAUUAAGAGUCAUGUUAUAAAUGAAGUAUGUAUAUGUUGGAUUGAUGA